rnacentral:rRNA from 1 species
GACGAACGCUGGCGGCGUGCUUAACACAUGCAAGUCGAGCGAUGAAGUUCCUUCGGGAACGGAUUAGCGGCGGACGGGUGAGUAACACGUGGGUAACCUGCCUCAUAGAGGGGAAUAGCCUUUCGAAAGGAAGAUUAAUACCGCAUAAGAUUGUAGUAUCGCAUGAUACAGCAAUUAAAGGAGUAAUCCGCUAUGAGAUGGGCCCGCGGCGCAUUAGCUAGUUGGUGAGGUAACGGCGCACCAAGGCGACGAUGCGUAGCCGACCUGAGAGGGUGAGCGGACACAUUGUGACUGAGACACGGCCCAGACUCCUACGGGAGGCAGCAGUGGGGAAUAUUGCACAAUGGGGGAAACCCUGAUGCAGCAACGCCGCGUGAGUGAUGACGGUCUUCGGAUUGUAAAGCUCUGUCUUCAGGGACGAUAAUGACGGUACAUGAGGAGGAAGCCACGGCUAACUACGUGCCAGCAGCCGCGGUAA